AUAUCUCUCCGUACGGGAAGGAUGAGAAGCUUCGACUAAGGUUCGAUUCGAGCGCAGCGAGAAAGCGUUGCCGCAGGCAACGACCCGAAGGGCGAAG
rnacentral:sRNA from 1 species